rnacentral:tRNA from 1 species
GCCGAAGUAGCUCAGAGCGUUUAGACUUUUACUCUAAAAGGUCCCUUGGUUCGAUUCCAAGUUUUCGGCA